rnacentral:rRNA from 1 species
AAUAUUGGACAAUGGGGGCAACCCUGAUCCAGCCAUGCCGCGUGUGUGAAGAAGGUCUUCGGAUUGUAAAGCACUUUAAGUUGGGAGGAAGGGCUUUAGGCUAAUACCCUGAAGUUUUGACGUUACCCACAGAAUAAGCACCGGCUAACUCUUUCCCAGCAGCCGCGGUAAUACAGAGGUGGCAAGCUUUAAUCGGAAUUACUGGGGUUAAAGCGCGCGAGGGUGGUUCAGUAGAUUGGGUGUGAAAUCCCCGGGCUUAACCUGGGAACUGCUUUCAUAACUGCUGAGCUAGAGUACGUAAGAGGGUAGUGGAUUUUCCUGUGUAGCGGUGAAAUGCGUAGAUAAAGGAAGGAACACCAGUGGCGAAGGCGACUACCUGGACUGAUACUGACACUGAGGUGCGAAAGCGUGGGAGCAAAC